GACGAACGCUGGCGGCGUGCCUAAUACAUGCAAGUUGAGCGAUGAAGCUUGGUGCUUGCACCAAUUUGAAGAGCAGCGAACGGGUGAGUAACGCGUGGGGAAUCUGCCUUUGAGCGGGGGACAACAUUUGGAAACGAAUGCUAAUACCGCAUGACAACUUUAAACAUAAGUUUUAAGUUUGAAAGAUGCAAUUGCAUCACUCAAAGAUGAUCCCGCGUUGUAUUAGCUAGUUGGUGAGGUAAAGGCUCACCAAGGCGAUGAUACAUAGCCGACCUGAGAGGGUGAUCGGCCACAUUGGGACUGAGACACGGCCCAAACUCCUACGGGAGGCAGCAGUAGGGAAUCUUCGGCAAUGGACGAAAGUCUGACCGAGCAACGCCGCGUGAGUGAAGAAGGUUUUCGGAUCGUAAAACUCUGUUGGUAGAGAAGAACGUUGGUGAGAGUGGAAAGCUCAUCAAGUGACGGUAACUACCCAGAAAGGGACGGCUAACUACGUG
rnacentral:rRNA from 1 species